CCUCCACUUUCACCUUCUCAUCUUUCUCUUGCACCGUUGCGGCCUUCACUCGAUUCAACCUCCUAUACACACAGCAGCAGCGUUUCGUCAAAAACCCUUUUCUAAGAAGUCACAGGGAGAAUCAAAUCAACAAAAAGCGGAAGUAACCAUACCGAUCGAAGAAAGAAAACAACGAAUCAACAAAAAGACAGAAGCUUGAGCUAUCCAAAAGGGCACAACGGAAGCUUCCUUCGUGCAGGAAAAAAAAAAAAGACCCCUCUUUCAUGGCAAAACAC